CUGGGACCUGCUCGCAGUAGGCCAGCGUGCGUGGUGCCAAGCGUGCUAAGGUCCUGUGUGCACGGUAGGAGGCCUGGGCACCAACAUGAUAGCCUAUAGUGUGCCGGUCGGGGCACUACUACCUCGAGCAAUGCGUCACUAUUAACUCGGGCAGCACGCUGCCGUCGCCUUAGGUGGUGCACCGCCACCGCCGACGAAGGAAGCCCUCCUCCCUCAUUUUUCAUGACAAACAUC
rnacentral:lncRNA from 1 species